UACGGAGGGUGCAAACGUUGCUCGGAAUCAUUGGGCGUAAAGCGCGCGUAGGCGGCUUUGCAAGUCGGGUGUGAAAUCCCCAGGCUUAACCUGGGAACUGCAUUCGAGACUGCAUUGCUAGAGUAUGGGAGAGGGAAGUGGAAUUUCCGGUGUAGCGGUGAAAUGCGUAGAUAUCGGAAGGAACAUCAGUGGCGAAAGCGACUUCCUGGACCAAUACUGACGCUCAUGUGCGAAAGCGUGGGGAGCAAACAGG
rnacentral:rRNA from 1 species